GAUCCUGGCUCAGGACGAACGCUGGCGGCGUGCCUAAUACAUGCAAGUAGAACGCUGAAGGAGGAGCUUGCUUCUCUGGAUGAGUUGCGAACGGGUGAGUAACGCGUAGGUAACCUGCCUGGUAGCGGGGGAUAACUAUUGGAAACGAUAGCUAAUACCGCAUAAUAGUAGAUGUUGCAUGACAUUUACUUAAAAGGUGCAAUUGCAUCACUACCAGAUGGACCUGCGUUGUA
rnacentral:rRNA from 1 species